rnacentral:misc_RNA from 1 species
GUGAGCUGAAUACAACACCACCAAUAGUAGCCAAAACUCUUUGUCUUUCUCUAUAUUUCUUCAAAAUUUCAAAGGAUUUGUGCAAUUCUCUUUUUGGGUUUUUGUCUCUUCAAUUUCAGGUGCUGAAAGAAAAAACUGGACUGGAACUUCAGAUAUUAUCUAGGAGGUCGAUUAUAUUUUUUCUGGAUUAAUCAGAAUAGUUUGAGCUUGAGUUUUGGGAAAAUUCUUUUAUGGCUACUUGUACGUCAGCUGUAUUUAUGCCUCCUGAUACGCGGCGGUCACGAGGGGUCUUGACUGUUCUUGGUGGUAGAGUUUGCCCCUUGAAAAUUCAAGAUGAGAAGAUUGGAUACUUGGGCGUUAAC